GUGCUUACUUUGGUAGCACAAGAACUAAAAUUGGAAUAAUACAGAGAAGAUUAGCAUGGCCCCUGGACAAGGAUGACACAGAAAUUCAGUGAUCCAUAUUUUA